AUGAAAAGUGAUCAUGCAAAAAUUAUAUUCAUGUAAUAGACACCAAACUAGGGAAAUUUGGCAAUUUCAGUGGCAUAUUUUAGUCAAGGUACACAGAUGGCAAUGCCAUAAGCAAGUCUAUAAAUAUCUGCUGCAGCCACCUCCCUCAUUUUAAAUGUUACCCUAAUAAGCAACACAGUUAGCAAGCAUAUUGGCUAAGAGUCAUGAAAUAGCUCAUGUCCAGAUGGGAAUUAUAGGUUACUGUGUGGUUUAUGGGGAUUAAUGGAAAAAUGAAUUCCGAAAAACAGCAAGUCUUCUUAGAAAUCCUUCAUGUUUAUGGUAAAUAAUAGUGCAACUAGGUCAUUUUAUUUGAAAUUCAAGAGUCAAGUGGAAAGAUUCCCCUAAUGAUAUAUCUAUUUCACUAACUUGUCUUUCUGUUUAUUGGGUUUUGAUUUUUUUUUUAAGCCAGUCAGGUUAUUUAAUGUUGAGGUAAUAUUCAAAUUUGAGAAGUUGUGACAUGUAGCAAUCCAAGAAACAAAAAAGGUCUUUUGCUGUUACCUCAGUUCUUAUUAUAGUGGCCUAUUUGGUGCCUCUAUAGUUAAGAAUCAGGGUUUUCCCCCCUAUUUUCAGGGGUUCAUGACUUGGCUGUUAGAGAUGUUGCUCCUGGCUAAUGCUGGGAGUGGUCUGUGGGUGAGUGGAUGUGUGCUGAAUUUUGGUUUUCUUUUAACAGGCACGUUGGGGUGGGAGGGAGAAAAAAUCUAAACUGUCCACCACAUUGACUACAGAAAAAGUAAUUGGAGAUUUCAGAUAAAUUUGAUUUUAAACACUUUUUUGGACUUCCUAAAUACAACCUUGUUUAAAACUUUUAUUUGCCGUCUUGUUAGUUAUGAGCCAGUGUUUUUAAGUCCCCAAGUGGGCGAUGACUAGGGGAGGUACCUAAAGAUGAAGCAAGCCCAGACCUUAAGAUUAUAGCUAUGUGAUUUUGAAACCUGGGUUUAAUCCUCAAAUUGAAUUACUUUUAAUUUUGAAAAGAGUACAUUGGCACACCUGCACCUCCCCCUUCCAGUUUAUUACAAUCUAAUGCCAAGAGGCACCUCUUUAUUAAUUACCAAAUAGUCUGUGUGACCAAGGACUAACAUUUUUAAGUUACUCAGCUCUAUCCUCAUGGGCCUAUAUAUUUAAUACCUCCAAAGAUACUUUAAGGAUAGGCUUUGUAUACUUUUGUUGGUUAUUUAGAGUCCUGUGGUAUGUUUGUGGUAUAGGAAUGUCAUGGUAAAUUGUUUUUCAAUAAAUAUUUUGAAACUUAUGUUUUCAUAUGAAGUUUUUUUUUUUAAUCUAUAUUUUUGGUUUUGUGCACAUAUAGCAUUUCCUAGGAUAAAAUCAAGCAAAUGACUUAAGGCCUCAUCUUCUCUAAUUCAGUUUGAACUCAACUUAGCUCACACUCAGUGAUAAAACAACAUGAUAUUUAGAAGCCUAGGUUCACAGGGUGAUAAUAUUAAAUGGCAGCCAGUUUUUCUUAAAAAAAAAAAAGUCAUUAUUGGUAGUUCCCCCUUAUUGCCACUGCUUUAAUGUAGUUUUCUGUAAAUCCAUAUACUUUGACUUAAUGCAGACACUCUAGGUUGAGAAGAGAGAUUGCCAGUUUCUGUUAGUGAUGUAACUUAAUGUGCUGUUGUUUCUGGUUUUAAUGAAGAAUAAUACCCUAAUUUUUAAGUGUGGGAUUUAUCCUUUCAGUUAGGGAUGUUUAGGAUAAGUUAGGGAGGUAAAUAUCAUCAUGAUUUUUGGGGUUAGAAAAAAUCUCAAAAGAAUAAAAUUACCUCACAAUAGCCAAUUGCUUGAACAAACUUUUUAUAUAUGGUGGGGUUGUGUGUAAGAAAUCCUAGACCAACUUAAAAGAUUUUUCUGGAAGUUCAGCAAAGUAAUAUUAAAUAAGGGGCCUUUGGUCUCAUCCUUUCCUGGCUUUCAAUGUUUCUCUCUUACCCAGUUUUUUUCCUAAAGUUUGGUGCUACUCAAGUUGGGUGCAUCAGGGAGCCCUGUAACAUUCGUGAGCCACACAGGUGGUCGGUCACUCCAGCGUUCAGUUUAGGAGAGCGGGUUGGGUUUUUUAGACCAUAAUUUUUAUGGGUCCCCAAAGCUGACUUUGCCCAACGCAUUAGGACCCUUAUUAUCGUCAAAUUUCUGUCUCUGUUCAGCAAAAAAUGAACUCAUUAUUGCUUUGGGGUAAUCCCCACACAGGUGUGCUUUCACUUGUGAAAAUGAAAGAUUUGACAAAGACCUUUGUUCUUAGCCUGUUAGAGAAGGGUUCAUAAUAUUGUGGAAACUAGGUCCAGUGGCUGCAAUCAUAAAUAACGAGAGUGCCAUUUGGCGGCUUAUAGUGCAGACAGAAUGCUGAACAGUAAACACAUGCCUAGAACAUGAUUGAAGCUUUUGGCCAUACUUUACAGAUUGAAAGAAUGGUUUGCUGAGUAGCAGGUAGAGGCUUUCACUGCUAUCCGAAAGUAGAGCGUUCCCAUGAAACCUCUUUAAGCCAAAAACAGGUGAACAGCAGAGAGGCAGUUACCUUAGGACAUGUCUUGCUAAUGGAUGCACAAAAUAAAUUGAGAUAAAGCACAGAAACUCGCACAGUUGUGGCUUGAAGCUGAGAUACUGAGCGUAGUUCUAGGGGAGGAGCUUGGCAGUGCCACUCUUGGUCAGGGUGCCACUGCCUCUGUUAACAGCUGUCUGCAAAACAAGCACUGAAUGCUAUUUUUGCUUUUCACCUUUUUUCGUAAAAGUGAAGAUCCUUUUGGAUUUUUUUCGGUUAACGAAAACAGGUGCUAAUGUAGGUCUUUCAUAAAAGCAAAGUACCAUAAAGUGAACUUUCAGAACGCAGAGGAUACCUGUAUUAACUGCUACUCAGUUUUGUUGUUUUUUUUCCCCUGAAUUUGUAGCCUUGCUGCUUCCAAACUGUUCUUUUUCUGGAUGGCAAAGUUACUACUGGAAAAAUACUUAUUUAUAAGUAAAAACGUCUUUAAGAGUUUUAUUUUUGCUUUAAGAAUUAACAUGUAUAUUUCACCUCUUGGCUUUGGAGGACCUCAGUUCUUGCUAGAAAAUUCCUUUUUUUAUCUGACAUUUGAAUUAAUCUCCAGCUUGAACACUAGUAGUUGUAUUGUCCACAAAUCUCAGGAAUGUUUGAGGCAGAAAACUGGUUUUACCCUGUUGGUGAUCUGAAGGAGUGUGCUUUGGCAUUUUUAAAAAUAAUGCUAUUCUUUAAUUACAGUCCUAGGCAUCUAUAGCAUGAGUGGCCUUAGUGAGUUUUUUGAAGUGCACAUUUUUUUUCAAAAGUAAAAUUUAAGAUUAAAAAUAUAUGCUAUAUAUAGGUAUCUAGAAACCUUGGUUUGUGGUGCACAAGUGUUGGAUCACUAAAUAACUUUGCAGGUACCAUUUGUGUAACAUUACUCAUUUCUGUAGAUUUCUUUUAUGGGAAGAUAUGUUGCCAUGGUAACUAAAACUUUUCAAUUUAGUUCCACUUUUAUGAUGUGAAUGAAUGCUAUGUUUUAUUAAAUAUUACCAGGUCAGUACUAUUUUUAUACUUUACUAAGCAACAGGGGAUUUUAGUUUAAUAGACUCAAAAAUCUCUUAAUGAAACAAUUAAAAGCAAAUCAUUAUCAAUUCUUUACAUGAAAAUCCCCACUAAUAGUGCCACAGUAAUUUCUAUAGAAAUAUCUAAGGUCAUUGAUAGAUUUUUUAAAGGCAAUUAAUUCUUCAUUGUGUCAGAAUGACCUUUCGUGUCAUCCUUAUCACAAACUUGUAGUGCCCACCAUUAUUUGUAACCAUUAAACCAUACUAAGUAUGUUUGUAACCAGCAUUGUGAUAUAUUCUGUACUUGUAUUGCUAAAAAUGAAUUAUUGACUUAAUAAAUAUAGUGUUCCUGCAUUCAUAGUG
ensembl:lncRNA